GACGAACGCUGGCGGCGUGCUUAACACAUGCAAGUCGAACGGGCCUGUCUUCUUUUUUGGGGGUGAGUUGAGUGGCGAACGGGUGAGUAUCACGUGAGUAACCUGCCCUUCGGUCCUGGAUAACCGCUUGAAAGGGCGGCUAAUACGGGGUGGUCCGGUUGGUCCGCAUGGGCUGGUCGGGAUAGAUUCACUGUUUUUGGUGUUUCGGCGGGGGAUGGGCUCGCGGCCUAUCAGCUUGUUGGUGGGGUGAUGGCCUACCAAGGCGGUGACGGGUAGCCGGCCUGAGAGGGUGGGCGGCCACACUGGGACUGAGAUACGGCCCAGACUCCUGCGGGAGGCAGCAGUGGGGGGUAUUGCACAAUGGGCGGAAGCCUGAUGCAGCGACGUCGCGUGAGGGAUGGAGGCCUUCGGGUUGUGAACCUCUGUUUCCGGUGGUGAAGGCCCUGUCCGUGUGGUGGGGUUGACGGUAGCCGGGGAUGAAGCGCCGGCUAACUACGUG
rnacentral:rRNA from 1 species